rnacentral:rRNA from 1 species
UACGUAGGUGGCAAGCGUUGUCCGGAAUUAUUGGGCGUAAAGCGCGCGCAGGCGGCUUCUUAAGUCUGAUGUGAAAUCUUGCGGCUCAACCGCAAGCGGUCAUUGGAAACUGGGAGGCUUGAGUGCAGAAGAGGAGAGUGGAAUUCCACGUGUAGCGGUGAAAUGCGUAGAGAUGUGGAGGAACACCAGUGGCGAAGGCGGCUCUCUGGUCUGUAACUGACGCUGAGGCGCGAAAGCGUGGGGAGCAAACAGGAUUAGAUACCCUGGUAGUCCACGCCGUAAACGAUGAGUGCUAAGUGUUAGAGGGUUUCCGCCCUUUAGUGCUGCAGCUAACGCAUUAAGCACUCCGCCUGGGGAGUACGGCCGCAAGGCUGAA